rnacentral:rRNA from 1 species
CCUACGGGAGGCAGCAGUGGGGAAUAUUGGACAAUGGGGGGAACCCUGAUCGAGCCAUGCCGCGUGUGUGAAGAAGGCCCUCGGGUUGUAAAGCACUUUCAGUGAGGAAGAACGCCUGGUGGUUAAUACCCAUCAGGAAAGACAUCACUCACAGAAGAAGCACCGGCUAACUCCGUGCCAGCAGCCGCGGUAAUACGGAGGGUGCGAGCGUUAAUCGGAAUUACUGGGCGUAAAGCGCGCGUAGGUGGCUUGAUAAGCCGGUUGUGAAAGCCCCGGGCUCAACCUGGGAACGGCAUCCGGAACUGUCAAGCUAGAGUGCAGGAGAGGAAGGUAGAAUUCCCGGUGUAGCGGUGAAAUGCGUAGAGAUCGGGAGGAAUACCAGUGGCGAAGGCGGCCUUCUGGACUGACACUGACACUGAGGUGCGAAAGCGUGGGUAGCAAACAGGAUUAGAUACCCUUGUAGUC